rnacentral:rRNA from 1 species
UACGUAGGGGGCAAGCGUUGUCCGGAUUUAUUGGGCGUAAAGAGCGUGUAGGCGGCCGUACAGGUCAGCUGUGAAAACUCGAGGCUCAACCUCGAGACGUCGGUUGAAACCGUACGGCUAGAGUCCGGAAGAGGAGAGUGGAAUUCCCGGUGUAGCGGUGAAAUGCGCAGAUAUCGGGAGGAACACCAGUGGCGAAGGCGGCGACCUGGGCCAAUACUGACGCUGAGGUGCGAAAGCGUGGGGAGCAAACAGG